UAGGAUUACAGGUGUGCACCACCAUGCCUGAAUGUUUCCUCUUUGAGAAGCCUAAGUGAGACAGAAACUCACUAGUUUCUUUUCUAACUUUCCUAUACUCCACUUCACUGACACAGAAAGGCAGGGACCAUUUUAGAGUUGCACAAAGUAGAUGUUUAAGGAAAUGUUGCAUGAAUGAAUGAAUGAACUGGUGAAUUAAUGGAUGAUUAUAUGAAUGAAUGAAUGGAUAGAUGGAUGGAUGGAUGAAUGAAUGCGUGGGUGGAUGGCUGGGUGGAUGAAUGGAUGAAUGGAGGGAUGUAUGAAUGGAUGGAUGGAUAAAUGGAUGGGUGGCUGGAUGAAUGGGUGGAUGGGUGGGUGGAUGGAUGGAUGGAUGGAUGGAUGGAUGGAUGGAUGAUUAGAGAAUGGGCUUCUGACCUCCAAAGUCCUCCCACAUGAGACAAACUCUACUCCCUCCUCUGCCUACUCUGCUUGUUUUUCUUCAACUCCCAUUUCCUAACCUCACUGUUUCUCAAGCAAGGGUGUUGCAAAGACUUCUGAGGACAUCUUGGAGUGGAGGUGGCCUUGGCAUAUGAUGACACUGGAUUUCCUGAGGCCUCGUUCCCGUGGGCCCGUUUUUGACCAAGCGGCAGCAGUGGAUAUAAGGCAGGAGACCAGGGCAUGGUGAGGCAGCUGGGCAAGUGGGCGUGACCUAUCAGUCACAGACAGCUGUCGAUCACAGAGGCCUGUCCAUCACUGCCAGGACACAUGCGCAGAACAGCUUCGCAGCCCCGGAUGGGCCGGCCGGAUCGACGUCAGACAUCAGAGCGGGGCGUGAGGGUUGAGCCGCGGCCGCUGGGUGCAGAGCGCCCCUCGCUCCACACCAGCUGCCACACAGCACAGCUUCCAGUGCACGCCUUCUCCCGUCUUUUCCUACCUUCAGUACCUUCAAUAAGUGUAAACCUCGCUGCUUCUUUUGCUUGUCUUAACCACUUGUUUGCACAAGACAACAGGAGCCUGGAAGGGACCCCAGCAUCCCAGAGCCCCGAUAAGAGGUCCCGGUAUGCUGUCCAGGCUGGUCUUGAACUCAUGGACUCAAGCACUUCUCCUGCCUCAGCCGCCCAAAUAGGCUGGACUACAGGUGUGUGCCACCAUGCCUGGCUUCAAGUUCCACUUUUCUGUUUUCUUUACCACUGCAUCACCACGUGUCCACACAGAGCAGCUCUCAAUAAACAUGUAGGAUGGACAGAGAUGAAUGUCAGUGUAUUCAUGUGGUUUGUGUUUUGUUGUUUUUCA
rnacentral:lncRNA from 1 species